UACGGAGGGGGCUAGCGUUGUUCGGAAUUACUGGGCGUAAAGCGCACGUAGGCGGCCUAUUAAGUCAGGGGUGAAAUCCCGGGGCUCAACCCCGGAACUGCCUUUGAUACUGGUAGUCUCGAGUCCGGAAGAGGUGAGUGGAAUUCCGAGUGUAGAGGUGAAAUUCGUAGAUAUUCGGAGGAACACCAGUAGCGAAGGCGGCUCACUGGUCCGGUACUGACGCUGAGGUGCGAAAGCGUGGGGAGCAAACAGG
rnacentral:rRNA from 1 species